UAAUAGCUAUGGAGCAAUGUGUAAUGAGGGAAGUGGGUCAGAUCCUGACGGAAGCAGCCCUAAGCUGAGUGCGCAUGUGCUCUUUUUUAUUGCUAAUUUUA
rnacentral:SRP_RNA from 1 species